CAAGUCGAACGCGAAAGUUCCCUUCGGGGAGCGAGUAGAGUGGCGCACGGGUGAGUAACACGUAGGUAAUCUACCUUCGGAUUGGGAAUAACAACCGGAAACGGUUGCUAAUACCGAAUAAUGCAGCGGCACCUAAUGGUGACAGUUGUUAAAGCGGGGGAUCGCAAGACCUCGCGUCUGAAGAGGAGCCUGCGGCGGAUUAGCUAGUUGGUAAGGUAAUGGCUUACCAAGGCGAUGAUCCGUAGCCGGCCUGAGAGGGCGGUCGGCCACACUGACACUGACAUACGGGUCAGACUCCUACGGGAGGCAGCAGUCGGGAAUUUUGGGCAAUGGGCGAAAGCCUGACCCAGCAACGCCGCGUGAAGGAUGAAAUCCUUCGGGAUGUAAACUUCGCAAGAACGGGAAGAAUAAGUAAGAGCUAACAUCUCUUACGAUGACGGUACUGUUUGUAAGCUCCGGCUAACUCCGUGCCAGCAGCCGCGGUAAUACGGGGGGAGCAAGCGUUGUUCGGAUUUACUGGGCGUAAAGGGCGCGUAGGCGGCCACCGCAAGUCAGUUGUGAAAGCUCUGGGCUUAACCCAGAAAGGUCAACUGAUACUGCGGGGCUAGAGUGCAGAAGGGGCAACUGGAAUUCUCGGUGUAGCGGUGAAAUGCGUAGAUAUCGAGAGGAACACCUGCGGCGAAGGCGGGUUGCUGGGCUGACACUGACGCUGAAGUGCGAAAGCUAGGGGAGCGAACGGGAUUAGAUACCCCGGUAGUCCUAGCCUUAAACGAUGAAUGCUUGGUGUCUGGGGUUUUAUAGUCCCCGGGUGCCGUCGCUAACGCUUUAAGCAUUCCGCCUGGGGAGUACGGUCGCAAGACUGAA
rnacentral:rRNA from 1 species